rnacentral:ncRNA from 2 species
CUCUUAUCAAGAGAGGUGGAGGGACUGGCCCCGCGAUACCUCGGCAGCAGACUUUCGUUAGUACUGUGCCAAUUCCAGGAGCGAUUUGCUUGAAGAUAAGAA